rnacentral:rRNA from 1 species
UACGUAGGGGGCAAGCGUUGUCCGGAUUCAUUGGGCGUAAAGAGCGUGUAGGCGGCCAGGUAGGUCGGUUGUGAAAACUGGAGGCUCAACCUUCAGAGGUCGAUCGAAACCAUCUGGCUAGAGUCCGGGAGAGGAGAGUGGAAUUCCUGGUGUAGCGGUGAAAAUGCGCAGAUAUCAGGAAAGAACACCAAUGGCGAAAGCAGCUUUCUGGGACGGUACUGACGCUGAGACGCGAAAAGCGUGGGGGAGCGAAACAG